rnacentral:lncRNA from 1 species
AUGAGGGACUGGAGCGUGCAGAGCUGUUUCCCACAGGUGCCUCAUCAGCGGCCAGAAACCUCCCGCCUACAAGGGCACCUCCCUUGUGACCUCCGUGCAUUCGCCCUGGCUCGGCGGCAGGACAGAGUCCUCGGCGGAAAGGGGAGGAUGCGUAUUCAGAAGGUUCCAGGUGUCUGGGGACUCCAUAGAAGACCCAAUGCCUGCCUCGGGGACUCAGGAUUGAACUGGCUUCCUAGUUCAGUCCUAAAUACGCGAUUUGGAGCAAUCCAGCAGAUUUUGAGAGGGCCUCAUCUGUGCAAGUCCAGGGUAUUGAAGCGCCGUAGGAGGGAGAAAAUCAGGCCCCGUCUGCAAGGAUGGCAGUUGGUGGCAGCCUUGUUGGCAGUGGCGGAUCUUCAAGGUCUGGGGGCUGGCAAUAGUGGAACUUCGGCAGCAAGAAUUGGGCCCCGGGAUGCCAGCUUCAGCUUGAAGGAGUUAAAAAUAUACUACUCUAGCAUAUUGACCAUUUUUAGUUAAAGGCACUUUAAAAACAGCAGGUGCAAGAAGAUCACUCGGCCCUUCCUUCUGUUUCUUAAAAGCAGCAGAUAAAAUUCCCAUGCAAAAGAUGUUCUCUUUCCACCAGAAGGAAAUGUUCUCAUCAUCAAGGAGGGAAAGAAUCUGAGGGAAAUAUUACAAACAAACUUGUUAGACUAAUCCUUGUCCUCUUCGCCACUUCUUCACCAAUUAACUAGCAAGCCCCUUUUCCUUGUCAUAUUUUCAUGAUGUACUUCUCUUUGUCUAAAUCAGUAUAUACAUGUUCAUCUCUAAUUGCAUCUUUGGGUCUUCAUUUCCUUGUAAAGUCUCCUGUGCAACAAAAAACCUGUAUUAAACAAAUUGUAUGUUUCUCCUAUUGAUCUAUGUCAAUUUAAUUAUCAGUCUUAGCCAAAAAUCCCAAAAGGGUGCAGGUAAAAAAUGCCUCCCCAUCAUGUUCCUCGGGGCUUUUUCUGAUUUUAAGGUGUCUCAGGCCCAUGUGUCCUUUCCAGAGUCCUCUUCCCUGGCCCCUGCUUCAAGUACAAGGCAAAUGAUUUAGCAGGAGCCCCCUCUGCAAGGAUGGCAGUUGGUGGCAGCCUUGUCGGCAGUGGCGGAUCUUCAAGGUCUGGGGGCUGGCAAUAGCGGAACUGUGGCAGCAGGAAUUGGGCCCCGGGAUGCCAGCUUCAGCUGGGGCUGUGACUCCUGGGGUUUCAGUACAUCUUUCCUUUUUAUUGCUGGACAAUAUUCUAUUGUAUGGAUGUAUCACAUUUUGUUUAUCCAUUCAUCCUUUGAUGGCCAUUGGGGUUGUUCCACUUUGGGCUAUUAUUAGUAAGCUGCUAUGAAUAUUCAAGUGCAUGUUUUUGAAUAAAUGUGUUUUCCUCUCUCUUGGAUAUAUAUCUAGGAAUGGAAUUUCUUGGUCAUAUGAUAACUCUAUGUUUAACUUUUUUUUUUUUUUUUUUUUGAGACGGAGUCUCACUCUGUUGCCCAGGCUGGAGUGCAGUGGCACGAUCUUGGCUCACCGCAAGCUCUGCCUCCCGGGUUCACGCCAUUCUCCUGCCUCAGCCUCCCGAGUAGCUGGGACUAUAGGUGCCCACCACCACACCCGGCUACUUUUUUGUAUUUUUAGUAGAGGCAGGGUUCCACUGUGCUAGCCAGGAUGGUCUCGAUCUCCUGACCUCAUGAUCUGCCAGCCUCGGCCUCCCAAAGUGCUGGUAUUACAGGCGUGAGCCACCGUGCCCGGCCGAGUCUAUGUUUAACUUUUUGAGGAACUACCAAACUGUUUUCCAAAGUGGCUAUACACUUUUAGAUUCCCGUUAACAAUGUAUAAGGGUCCUAAUUUAUCCAAAUCUUUGCCAACAGUUGUUGUUAUCCUCUUUUUGAUUAUAGAUAUCCUAGUGGCUAUGAAGUAGUAUCUCAAUGUGGCUUUAAUUUGCUUUUCUCUAAGACUAUGUUGAGAAUUCGUAUUGGCCAUUUGUAUAUUUUCUUUGGAGAAAUGUCCAUUUAUAACUUUUGUCUAUUUUUAAAUUAUGUCUUUUUAUUGUUGAAUUGUGAGAAGUCAUUGUUCAUAUCUGAUAAGUGAUACUAGUCGUUUAUCUGAUAUAUGAUUUAAAAUAUUUUCCUCCAUUCUGUGAGUUGUUUUCACUUUUUUUAUUAAUGUCCUUUGAAA